AAAUUGAAGAGUUUGAUCAUGGCUCAGAUUGAACGCUGGCGGCAGGCCUAACACAUGCAAGUCGAACGGUAACAGGAAGCAGCUUGCUGCUUCGCUGACGAGUGGCGGACGGGUGAGUAAUGUCUGGGAAACUGCCUGAUGGAGGGGGAUAACUACUGGAAACGGUGGCUAAUACCGCAUAACGUCGCAAGACCAAAGAGGGGGACCUUCGGGCCUCUUGCCAUCAGAUGUGCCCAGAUGGGAUUAGCUUGUUGGUGAGGUAACGGCUCACCAAGGCGACGAUCCCUAGCUGGUCUGAGAGGAUGACCAGCCACACUGGAACUGAGACACGGUCCAGACUCCUACGGGAGGCAGCAGUGGGGAAUAUUGCACAAUGGGCGCAAGCCUGAUGCAGCCAUGCCGCGUGUAUGAAGAAGGCCUUCGGGUUGUAAAGUACUUUCAGCGGGGAGGAAGGUGUUGUGGUUAAUAACCGCAGCAAUUGACGUUACCCGCAGAAGAAGCACCGGCUAACUCCGUGCCAGCAGCCGCGGUAAUACGGAGGGUGCAAGCGUUAAUCGGAAUUACUGGGCGUAAAGCGCACGCAGGCGGUCUGUCAAGUCGGA
rnacentral:rRNA from 1 species